rnacentral:rRNA from 1 species
CCUACGGGAGGCAGCAGUGAGGAAUAUUGGUCAAUGGGCGCGAGCCUGAUCCAGCCAAGUCGCGUGAGGGAGGACGGCCCUACGGGUUGUAAACCUCUUUUGCCGGGGAGCAACGGGCGCCACGUGUGGCGUCACGGAGAGUACCCGGAGAAAAAGCAUCGGCUAACUCCGUGCCAACAGCCGCGGUAAUACGGGGGAUGCGGGCGUUAUCCGGAUUUAUUGGGUUUAAAGGGAGCGUAGAUGGGUUGUUAAGUCAGUUGUGAAAGUUUGCGGCUCAACCGUAAAAGUGCAAUUGAUACUGGCAGUCUUGAGUACAGUUGAGGUAGGCGGAAUUCGUGGUGUAGCGGUGAAAUGCUUAGAUAUCACGAAGAACUCCGAUUGCGAAGGCAGCUUACUAAACUGCCACUGACAUUGAUGCUCGAAAGUGUGGGUAUCAAACAGGAUUAGAUACCCGAGUAGUC